UACGAAGGGGGCUAGCGUUGCUCGGAAUCACUGGGCGUAAAGGGUGCGUAGGCGGGUCUUUAAGUCAGGGGUGAAAUCCUGGAGCUCAACUCCAGAACUGCCUUUGAUACUGAAGAUCUUGAGUUCGGGAGAGGUGAGUGGAACUGCGAGUGUAGAGGUGAAAUUCGUAGAUAUUCGCAAGAACACCAGUGGCGAAGGUGGCUCACUGGCCCGGUACUGACGCUGAGGCGCGAAAGCGUGGGGAGCAAACAGG
rnacentral:rRNA from 1 species